rnacentral:rRNA from 2 species
UGGCGAACGGGUGAGUAACACGUGGGUGAUCUGCCCUGCACUUCGGGAUAAGCCUGGGAAACUGGGUCUAAUACCGGAUAGGAGCCAUUUUUAGUGUGAUGGUUGGAAAGUUUUUUCGGUGUAGGAUGAGCUCGCGGCCUAUCAGCUUGUUGGUGGGGUAAUGGCCUACCAAGGCGGCGACGGGUAGCCGGCCUGAGAGGGUGGACGGCCACAUUGGGACUGAGAUACGGCCCAG